rnacentral:rRNA from 1 species
UGCAGUCGAGCGGUAACAGAUCUAGCUUGCUAGAUGCUGACGAGCGGCGGACGGGUGAGUAACGCGUAGGAAACUGCCGAGUAGUGGGGGAUAGCCCAGAGAAAUUUGGAUUAAUACCGCAUACGCCCUACGGGGGAAAGGAGGGGAUCUUCGGACCUUUCGCUAUUCGAUGUGCCUGCGUGAGAUUAGCUUGUUGGUGAGGUAAAGGCUCACCAAGGCGACGAUCUCUAGCUGGUUUGAGAGGAUGAUCAGCCACACUGGGACUGAGACACGGCCCAGACUCCUACGGGAGGCAGCAGUGGGGAAUAUUGCACAAUGGGGGAAACCCUGAUGCAGCCAUGCCGCGUGUGUGAAGAAGGCCUUCGGGUUGUAAAGCACUUUCAGCAGUGAGGAAAGGUUGUAAGUUAAUACCUUGCAGCUAUGACGUUAACUGCAGAAGAAGGACCGGCUAACUCCGUGCCAGCAGCCGCGGUAAUACGGAGGGUCCGAGCGUUAAUCGGAAUUACUGGGCGUAAAGCGCGCGUAGGCGGCUAGGUCAGUCAGAUGUGAAAGCCCCGGGCUUAACCUGGGAAUUGCAUCUGAUACUGCUUGGCUAGAGUACAGAAGAGGGUGGUGGAAUUUCCUGUGUA